CAGCCAUGCCGCGUGCAGGAUGAAGGCCUUCGGGUUGUAAACUGCUUUUGUACGGAACGAAAAGACUCCUUCUAAUAAAGGGGGUUCAUGACGGUACCGUAAGAAUAAGCACCGGCUAACUACGCGCCAGCAGCCGCGGUAAUACGUAGGGUGCAAGCGUUAAUCGGAAUUACUGGGCGUAAAGCGUGCGCAGGCGGUUAUAUAAGACAGAUGUGAAAUCCCCGGGCUCAACCUGGGAACUGCAUUUGUGACUGUAUAGCUGGAGUACGGCAGAGGGGGAUGGAAUUCCGCGUGUAGCAGUGAAAUGCGUAGAUAUGCGGAGGAACACCGAUGGCGAAGGCAAUCCCCUGGGCCUGUACUGACGCUCAUGCACGAAAGCGUGGGGAGCAAACAGGAUUAGAUACCCUGGUAA
rnacentral:rRNA from 1 species